UAUAUCCUACAAAAUUUAAGUUAUUACAUUUGUUUCUUCGAAAAUUUUUUGAUUUGCAAAUAUAUCUCUAAAAAAAUUCUGAGUCAUUCAUUCGUUUGAUUCACUAUUAAUUUUUUAACGAUGGGAGUAUAAAAUGACUAUUUUAUUCUUACAAAAUUGUCCGUGCAAAAAGAUAUAUUUUUUUUCUCUCUCUUCUUGUCUUCGUUGCGGCACGUGUGGCAUACCUCAAUUAUUAAUGUAGAAGUGAUGUGAAAGUAUUGUAAUUGAUGAUACGAGGGGAAUUAAUAUGCUACAUGACAUUUACAUCAAUAGUAUUUUAAUAUUUAGUCAAUUAAAUUAAAUUAUGAGAUUUAAUUGCAACAAUACAAAAAAAUUUGAUCUAGAAUUGUAAUAAAUUAAAAAUUGAGGACUAGAAGCGUCACGUGACUCAUAGUUUGAGGACCAAAAGUACAGUGUACUCUUUUUACAAAUUAUUUUUAUUUGGAAAAUAUAGUUCAGCAAAAAAAUCUAUUUUAAAAAGUUUUAGCUAGUGUUUGGUUGGGGGUUAAGGGGUGGAAUAACCCCUUAACCCCCAAUUUAUUCUCAAACACCUCAAAUAAGGGGUGGGGCUAGCUAACCCGAUUCUAAAUGGGCUAUUCCGGAAUAAUCCAUUUUGGGUGGGAUUAGAGGAAUUAGCUAAUCCCACCUCACCCCACCCCACUACUCCAACCAAACAAAACACUAUUUUACCCACUAUCCUUCUUAUCCCAUCUACUCCAACCAAACACUAUUUUUUUUUAUCCUAGACUAACUCCAACCCCCAAUCAAAUACAAAAAAUACUCUAACCCCAGCUUAACGCUGAACUUAACUCUAUUCCUGAAAUAACUAGUUUUUUCUUAACCCCGAACUAAACGGUAGCUUAAGGUGUAAUCCAAGACGCGACGGACCGGCCAUCCCGAAUACCAUCUUCUCUGUGUAAUCCAAGAC
rnacentral:lncRNA from 1 species